rnacentral:rRNA from 1 species
CCUACGGGUGGCAGCAGUGAGGAAUAUUGGUCAAUGGACGGAAGUCUGAACCAGCCAUGCCGCGUGCAGGAAGACGGCUCUAUGAGUUGUAAACUGCUUUUGUACAAGGGUAAACCGGAAUACGUGUAUUCAGCUGAAAGUACGGUACGAAUAAGGAUCGGCUAACUCCGUGCCAGCAGCCGCGGUAAUACGGAGGAUCCAAGCGUUAUCCGGAUUUAUUGGGUUUAAAGGGUGCGUAGGCGGCUUGAUAAGUUAGAGUUGAAAUGUCCGCGCUUAACUCGGGAACUGCCUCUCAUACUGUUGAUCUAGCGCGUAGGUGCGGUAGUCGGAAUGUAUUGUGUAGCGGU